GACCACAUGAUCAAUCCUUUAUGAAGAAAUUCCAGCAUAAUCAGUCUGCAAAUACCAUUCUAAUAAGACAAAAAGGCAGCUGCAAUGAUUCAUUCCUCUGAGGCUGGAAAUGUUUGCAGAAUUCAACACUUGCAGAGAGAGAAUCCUGAGAGGAGGAAGAUAGAAUAUGCAACUCUAGCAGUUUUUGUGGCCUAGACUGGAAAAUAUCUCUGGCAACAUUUGGUGGCGAAAGAAGGCAUCACUAUAACAGCAGACCUUUCUUCUCAUUUUUGUCUAUGAAAUUAAAUCUGAGGCCUAAUUAGAAAAACAGUUGGAAUGGAAACUAGUCCUGCAACAGCUGGCAUGAUGUUUUGAAAGGGCUCUAGAAACAAGCAAGACAGGCUUCGAGUAAGCUAAUGGCUUUACACAUCAAAAAGGCUGGAUUUCCUGUAUUUUGCUCUCUCUGGUCCUGAAUUAUCAUGGGUAGAGUGGAAUCAGUUGCCCAGAAACAUAUGACAGUGAG